UACGUAGGGUGCGAGCGUUGUCCGGAAUUAUUGGGCGUAAAGAGCUCGUAGGCGGUGUGUCGCGUCGGCCGUGAAAACCUGGGGCUCAACUCUGGGCGUGCGGUCGAUACGGGCAUCACUUGAGUUCGGCAGGGGAGACUGGAAUUCCUGGUGUAGCGGUGAAAUGCGCAGAUAUCAGGAGGAACACCGGUGGCGAAGGCGGGUCUCUGGGCCGACACGUGACGCUGGAGGCGCGAAAGCUAGGGGAGCGAACGGG
rnacentral:rRNA from 1 species